UAAUUGGAGGUCCCAUGGAGUAGCAUUUUGUAAAAAGAACAUCUUUGGAUGUGCUGUGGACUACUUAAACUAAAGACCUUUCAUUGUGUGGGGAAAAGGGAUUUUGGGUGGGAGGGAGAACUCCGAGUCUUUUUAUUCUUUAUGGAGGAGAGGAAUUUUUGUAAUGAGGGCUGCACUGCUUUGGUUUACAUCCAUUUAACUUGGAGAAAUUAUUAUAGUUUUCUAUGUCAUAUCUUUCAGAUGAAAACACAGCCUUUUGCUCCAUUUGUGGUGAGCUAGAUCACUGCUCUGUUACACAGGACAAAGCAGAUAUCCUAAAACUGAUUUCUGUGGUGGGAGGGGAGAAAAGAGGAUUAAAAACUGGCACACUGGAUCACACCAGCUUUGGGAGAACUGGGAUUUAUAAUUAGAUUCUUUUUUUUUUUCCUGAUUUAGAUGCAAAUCUUUCUUACCUUUAAAUGUUUUCUUUCAGAUAUGGUGCCAAAAAGCACCGCCAUCUCAGCUAGCACUUUGCUGUCCUUCAGGAAACCAGCAGGUGCUUCACUUUUUAUGGUUAAAAAGGCACAAAUAUAAUAGUAAUGAAAACAUUCCUUUUCUACAUGUCAUAGAUGCUUUAAACCCCUCACUUUGGAGGGGAGGGGAAGGGGCCUUAUAGAUAAAAUACUGAAAUUGUAAAAUAUUUAUUUUUACCUAUCCUUGAUGUUAUAAUGACUGAGGGAUUAUUGAUUAAUGCAACAAGAACUGCGUCAAGACUAUCCACCUAAUCAUUGUUACAAGUCUUCAUGACUGUUAGAUUGUAAAUACAGAUUAUUUAUUAACUCUGUUCUAUAUGGAAACUAGAGAGGGUUUAGAUGAGAAAAAAAAAUCAUCUUGUCUGGAGCAGAUAGUGCUGAUGUAUUUGUUACAAAGACCAGUUUUCUUAUAAAGGCUUUGAGGUGCAGGGAGAAGUGGUGGGGUGGGGGAUAGGAUGUUUGGUGUUUUUUUUUUCUCAUUUUGAGCUCAGUAUUGGCUUUUCCUUCCUUAAUGCAAGGCAGUUGGUAGCUUGGCAGGCAACUGUUCUGCAGUGCUAAAACUCAAGUCCCUUGGGAUGGUAGCAGUUCCUGUCUCGUUCCCUUACCCCUAGCGCUAGGGAUAACGUUCACAAUCUUAGUGGUUAUUUAGUGCUGGGAAAUGUCUGCAGUGCUUUACCACUGGUCAGUGGGCCUGAUACAAAACCAGAAUACCUGUUCUAAGGAGGCUGCAGAGAGGCACAAUGACCACAAGCCGUAACCAUUCAAACCAGCUGUUUGUGCCACUGCACACUCAUUCUCGUAACUAGUGAUGUGUGGCAACAAAAGAAGGAAUUCUUCACAGACUAGACAGAAUUUCAGGAGCUCCUUGCAAAAGAGGGAAAGGGCUUGAUUUUUCAUUAACAGAAGACUGUUUUCCCCAACAGAAGGGGCAGCAUCAUUAUACCUAUUAUAUUUCCUUGUCCUUUCAAAAAAGGAAAAAAAUGAACACAGUGAAAGUUUUACGUACAAAUAUUACCUCAUUGUUGUGUGACUGAGAAAAACCUUUGGAUAAAACAGAGUUCAAAUGUCUAACAAACUUUAAAGCUACUGUAGUACUAAAAAGUUAAUGCUGUACAUAGUCAAAAUUUCUUUGCAGAAAAUGUAUUCUCAGUAAGGAAAUGGCAUUGGAAAAAAAAGUCAGAUACAAUUUCUAAUGUGUUGUAUUUUUUCCUGUCAUCUUGUAUACCAUUGCUUGUAUUUUUAUAAAUUAUUUUUCUCAUUGCCAUUGUAAUAGUUAAUCACAUAAUUGUGUAGAUAGGCUAUUUAAAUAAUUUAUCAUGAAAUGCUACCUGUAGAGUUAGUAUUUCUAUUUUUAUAAAACGUUUGCACACUGAACUGAAGAUUUUUUUUUUUGCUUCCCUCCUCCCAAUGUUUUUGCUAGCAUAAUUUUCUAAGAACAUGCUUUUUUUGUAAACAUUUUUAACCAUUUUCCAUUUUAAAAUUGUGUAAGUUGUACAAUAAAGCUUCUUGCAUACAAAGACCAAUAAA
rnacentral:lncRNA from 1 species